UACGUAGGUGGCAAGCGUUAUCCGGAUUUAUUGGGCGUAAAGAGAACGCAGGCGGUCUUUUAAGUCUGAUGUGAAAGCCUUCGGCUUAACCGGAGUAGUGCAUUGGAAACUGGGAGACUUGAGUGCAGAAGAGGAGAGUGGAAUUCCAUGUGUAGCGGUGAAAUGCGUAGAUAUAUGGAAGAACACCAGUGGCGAAAGCGGCUCUCUGGUCUGUAACUGACGCUGAGGGUCGAAAGCGUGGGUAGCAAACAGG
rnacentral:rRNA from 1 species